UUGCUCCCUGCGUGACGAGCGGGGGACGGGUGAGUAAUGUCUGGGAAUCUGCCUGAUGGAGGGGGAUAACUACUGGAAACGGUAGCUAAUACCGCAUAACGUCGCAAGACCAAAGAGGGGGACCUUCGGGCCUCUUGCCAUCAGAUGUGCCCAUAUGGGAUUAUCUAGUAGGUGGGGUAAUGGCUCACCUAGGCGACGAUCCCUAGCUGGUCUGAGAGGAUGACCACCCACACUGGAACUGAGACACGGCCCAUACUCCUACGGGAGGCGGCAGUGGGGAAUAUUGCACAAUGGGCGCAAGCCUGAUGCGCCCAUGCCGCGUGUGUGAAGAAGGCCUUCGGGUUGUAUAGCACUUUCAGCGAGGAGGAAGGUGGUGAGCUUAAUACGUUCAUCAAUUGACGUUACUCGCAGAAGAAGCACCGGCUAACUCCGUGCCCGCAGCCGCGGUAAUACGGAGGGUGCAAGCGUUAAUCGGAAUUACUGGGCGUAAAGCGCACGCAGGCGGUUUGUUAAGUCAGAUGUGAAAUCCCCGGGCUCAACCUGGGAACUGCAUUUGAAACUGGCAAGCUAGAGUCUCGUAGAGGGGGGUAGAAUUCCAGGUGUAGCGGUGAAAUGCGUAGAGAUCUGGAGGAAUACCGGUGGCGAACGCGGCCCCCCUGGACGAACACUGACGCUCAGGUGCGAAAGCGUGGGGAGCAAACAAGAUUACAUACCCUGGUAGUCCACGCUGUACACGAUGUC
rnacentral:rRNA from 1 species